UUUUUCUUCUUCAUAUAUUUUAUUUUAUCUCAUUAGGACACGGGGCAAUAUUCAGUUCUAUUCUAUUUUUAUUAUUUCUGUGAAGUAAUUACGGGUUCUCUAAUUUUCCUGAUGUAGUUCCAGUGUGGAUGAGGAUGAAAGGAUGUGGGUGGCAGAUAGACGGCUAAUAAGAACUCCUUAUUGCCUUCUUGUUAUCUUUUUCAUUAAGAAAGAGACUUUCAGUUGGAACCUUUAUAAACAUCAUUGCUAGGUGGCAAAGUAGGAGAAGAUGGUUCAUAGGCUUGGCCUAGCUCAGCGAGGGCACGCUGCCACUGCGGAUUGGGGGGCCAGGAGGCCCAGAGCAAGAAGAAAGUGGGUUGAAAGCAGAGUUCUGUGUAAAGAAUUUUCUGCUGGAAACAAGCCCAGAGGGAGUAAAGAGGAUCUUUAAUGAGGAGCAGCUGCAGGGCCGACGCAACCCACAUGAGACAUUUUUUUCCCCUCCGUUCCACAUUCUGUAUAGUUUUUUAAAAAUCAUGAUUUUGAAAUAGCUGUUUUGUAAAGCCCGCCUCUCUUUUUCUUCUCCUUGUAUGUGGUAGGGGUUUGCUUUGUUGUUUUAUUAUUUUUAAUGACCAAAUCCCCCCCUUAAAAAAAAAAAAAAGGCGAAAGGCAAAGCUGCAGCACAGCCCUGGCUGCAAUGUGGGCUCACCCUGCUGAUACAGAACAUUCGGUGGAGAAAACAAGGACAGAGAACACUGGCUUUUAUUUGGAAAGGGGCUUAUUUCCUGCUCAGACGUCGGUCAUCUUGGAGCUGACACGCCGCUACAGUGUUUUCAGCUUUUCUCUAGACGAGUGGCUAUUCACUCAGGAAACUUGAAAGGACAAAUUUUUCUGUCCUGCAUUACGAGGGAGACUGAUUCCGAGCCGCAGCCACUGCCAGAGAGCGUGGACUUGCUAUUCAAAUCCCAGGGCCGUUGAAAUCUGUAAAGUGGCUACAUGUAAACGAAUCCAGGCUGUGGGUGACAUGUGAGAGCCGGGGUCUGGUUCUCAUCUGUCUGACCGAGGGGGGCUGCGUGGGCAUCCUUUCCAUUGGAAAGUCUUCUGGUUCCAUUAGGAGGAGUCCCUUGUUUUUCUCCCUCCCUCCCUCCCCUGCACUUCAUUCCCCAUGUGUGUGCUUGAAUCGUAACAGUGAGUGAGUGCAUUUCUUUUUAAAAAUAUAUGUAUUUUUUUAAUUAAUUUCAGAGAGGAAGGGAGAGGGAGAGAGAGAUAGAAACAUCAAUGAUGAGAGAGAAUCAUUGAUUGGCUGCCUCCUGCACACCCCACACCAGGGAUGGAGCCCGCAACCCGGGGAAUGUGCCCUGACCAGGAAUCAAGCUGUGACCUCCUGCAUGGACCUGAUAGGUAUUCAGGUCAGUUUUGGGAAUUAUUUUACAGGAAAACCAGCUCCCCUCCCCCCAACUCCCUCUGUAUUCCCAGCCUCCUCUGUGGACUGGGCUCUUUCAGAGUUCCCGAGCUGGAGGAGGGGGUACGGAAUGGGAGGGUGUCGCCGAGAGAACCACUGAACUAAGCGAUCUGUUCCCUCCAGGAGGCAGGCGUUCAAAUAGUUCGGGGAACAAAAGGCAGCUGUUAGGUUUAUUGGGUUAUAUUUUACAUAGAUCUAUAUUCAAGAUGUUGGCCGUUUUCAAAAAAGCUUUCCUGGGUUAGUGCAGUAGAAUUUGCGAGGGAACUUGGGUGAUUGGCCGUGUUUCCAGCCUCUACCCACACGCAGCUUGGGCCACCUCAAGAAGAGAGGUAUUCAAGCCCUUGUUUUCAGGCCGAGUCUUAAUUCCCACUCAGAUUAACGGAGUAUGUGUGUACUUGUCUUACAGUUGAACAGGGAUUUGCAGCGGUGAAAGGUCUCCUGCCUUGGGAAACAUGGGCCCUUUAUUUCUAGCCGUCUCCCUUACCCAGUUCUCCCCUUUCUGUCCAUGUCCAGAAUCCUGCCGAAGCCUCCUGGGGACUGAGGGCUAAUCUUGUACCUCAGGAUGAUUCUUAGGGUUGAGUUGGCCUGUGUUCUACCAGGCAGAGCAGUAUGGGGUUGGAAGGGAAUUUUUUAGCGGACUUGAUUGGAAAACUGACUUUAUCCAUCAUAUGAAA